rnacentral:tRNA from 11 species
GCACUAGUGGUCUGCAGGUCGGGCUUCAAAGCU